ACAGGGCCUUACUGGAUUACAAGCUUUGGAUUCUCUCUCUAUUCUCCACUGCGGAGAAAGGCACAAAUCGAAAGAUUACCUUAAAUUCGGAGCGCGAUUAUCGAUUCGAGCGUUCGGGAACAGAUCUUGAUCGGGGAUACCUGGGCAUUGGAAGAAGAGGAAUUGAUCACCCUUGUCUAAGAUGGCCAUGUAUAUACGUGUAAAGCGUAUGAAGACAACAUAUUUUAUCCAAUGCGACCCAACUGAAACUAUCCUGGAUAUCAAGCAGAAACUGUUUCCACUCAUUGAACAGCCAGUUAGCAAUCAGCGUCUCAUCUUAUUCUCUACCAAAGAAGUAUUAGAGGAUUCCAAAUCUUUAGCCGAGCAGAAGGUUGAGAAUGACGCAGUUGUGGCACUGACACUGAGGAAAGCGUGGCGGUCUUAAAACUUUUGUGACUGAUAACAGUUGAAUAUGAUGCCCAUUAUUUCAGAUAGCUUCCAGAUUGUGAAUCUGUUGAGUAUGUAAUAAUAUGAUGAUGAUGAGUUUGAAGAUGUCAACAUUGCAGAGCCCAGCGAUUUUUCAAUCUCAUGAUGAAUUAACCCGCUUUGGAAGCCUGGGACUUUGCAAAAGGCUUCUGGUUGUUGUGUUUGUUUGCGCUGAACAAAAAAAUAAUCGAUGUAAACGAAACAUGGCCAUGCCCAUGAAUAUGGAUGCGAGAUUAUCCAUUAUGUGGAUUUUAUGAAUCCUUGGUUGGUGUCUUUCUUUUUGCUCUUAGUUACAAAACUGUAGUAUGAUUCUGUGCUUAA